UCGUGAGUGUGAAGACAGGAGAGAGGGCAUGCACACGCCCUGACUCACCGCAGCCUGAGCCAGCCCUGGACCGUGGGCACACAUGUGCCUGGCUUACUCAGGGAGGGCUCGGGAUAUGAACCCGGAAACUUCCCAUGUGAGUCCCUCGCAGAGCACUGCCUUUCACCGCGCACCACCGCCAGGCCCCGGAAUGCCCACGUUUUCUCAGAGAUCGAUGGAACUCACAAUGUUUUGAGAAGAGCCUGCUGGUUCCUGUGUUGGGUUGCUGCCACGCAGCGCGAUUCCGAGGCUGAUGGAAACAGUGGGGAGGAGACCUCGAACACGCAGGCUUUGGCGGCAGGAAGCGCGUCUUUUCCACCUGCUCCUUCCGUGACGGCAGCCCGCUGCUCCGGCUGACCCUGCGCUGUCUCACCUGCGUUUGCAGGUGCCUUGGCCCCAGCGUCUGGGUAUCCGUGCACUGCAGGGCAGGGCACCAUGUUGGAAGCGCCGUUGUCACAGGCCUUUAGAUGGUACUGAGUCCGCAGUCAAUUUUUUAAGCUUUAAGACAGUUAAAACCUGCUUCCUACUUGAAAGUUGCCGGUGCUUCUCGUUUAAAGUCCAGGUAGCGGCUUGUAAAGUACUACCUGUGUGUGACAGUGCGUGCCAAGCAGUGAAGUCGAUUCCAGGAAGCAAAAAUCCUUUUGGCAACACUGGCUGCGGUGGGACUCCCGGAAGUGCUGGCCCUCCUGCCAUGAACAGCUAUAAAGAUGGGUCGACCAGAGAUGCCAGAGACCGCCGGGCGUGAAGAGCUGAGACAUAGGGUCCCACCUACAGGAGGCCCAAUCCCAGGACAGAUUCCAGCCCUGCACUGUUCGCAUGAGCCCCGGGCAGAGUGACCCUGCUCACCGGAAGGGCUGCUCCAGGUCCCAGCAUGAAGGCAAAUACAGACCCCAGGAGAACGUCACACCCAGCAGAACCACCGCCUGCCAGCGCGGUGCACGAGCGUCCCCGACCUCCCACGUGGCUGUCUGGCCUGCUACCCGAGGCAGCGCCCUGUUGCCGUGUUUUCACGCUCAUGCAGGAGCACGUGUGCAGGGUCCCGAGCAAAACGUGUGUGGUUCGGCCCAGUACCGCCACCUUCCCCGCUGUGACGGCGCUGGCUCCGCGGGACAGUUCGUCACCGUGUCCGGUCUCUGUCACCCUGGCAUGCGAGAGCACUCCUCUCAGGUCAGGGCUCUCUGUCCUGUUUGCAUAAGGUCGAUCCCUUCCCUACGCCGGGACUCCGCCUGGCUCGUGAAAGAGUCCCCCUGACACACUUAAAGGAAAGAAAAAGAAUAGGGAAACAACUGGUCCCAAGCCGGGAGUAAUAUCCACCCACGGGGCAUAAAAUAUUAGGACAGUCUUAA